rnacentral:tRNA from 1 species
GGCGGUAUAGUGCAGAGGUUAGCAUAUCCCCCUCCCACCACAGAAAGUUCUCUUGAGGAUCUGAAGACCACUGUUUAUACAAGACCAUACCAAUCCACGGUUGUCCCGCGGAGAUCUUGUGAUUUCAUGUUGAUAGAUUUGUCUUGAGACUGUCGUCGUUGUUGCUACAACUGUAGGAUCGGGGAAGACCUUGGUUCGAAUCCGAGUUCCGCCA